rnacentral:misc_RNA from 1 species
CCAAUAGCGUAUAUUAAAGUUGUUGCAGUUAAAAAGCUCGUAGUUGAAUUUCGGGGUUAGUAAGUUGGUUGUGCCACUGGUAUGUACUGGCUUUACUGAUUCCUCCUUCUUGUAGAACCGUAAUGCCAUUAAGUUGGUGUUGCGGGGAAACAGGACGGUUACUUUGAAAAAAUUAGAGUGUUUAAAGCAAGCUAACGCUUGAAUACAUUAGCAUGGAAUAAUGAAAUAGGACGUUCGAUCCUAUUUUGUUGGUUUCUAGGAUUGACGUAAUGAUUAAUAGGGAUAGUUGGGGGCAUUAGUAUUCAAUUGUCAGAGGUGAAAUUCUUGGAUUUAUUGAAGACUAACUACUGCGAAAGCAUUUGCCAAGGAUGUUUUCAUUAAUCAAGAACGAAAGUUAGGGGAUCGAAGACGAUCAGAUACCGUCGUAGUCUUAACCAUAAACUAUGCCGACUAGGGAUCAGACGAUGUUAAUUUUUUAAUGACUCGUUUGGCACCUUACG